rnacentral:rRNA from 1 species
AGAGUUUGAUCCUGGCUCAGAACGAACGCUGGCGGCGUGGUUUAGGCAUGCAAGUCGAACGAUUACUUUUCGGAGUAAUAGUGGCGAAAGGGUGAGGAAUACGUGGGUAUACGUGCCUUUAAGACUGGGAUAACCCUGCGAAAGCAGGGCUAAUACCGGAUGUGAUCUACGGAUCAAAGACGGGGACCUUAACAGGCCUGUCGCUUAGAGAUCGGCCCACGGCUUAUUAGCUUGUUGGUAGGGUAACGGCCUACCAAGGCUAUGAUGAGUAGUCGGCCUGAGAGGGUGAACGGCCACACUGGGACUGAGACACGGCCCAGACUCCUACGGGAGGCAGCAGUGGGGAAUAUUGCGCAAUGGGCGAAAGCCUGACGCAGCAACGCCGCGUGGGGGAUGAAGGCUUUCGGGUUGUAAACCCCUUUCAGUGAUGACGAAAAUGACGGUAAUCACAGAAGAAGCCCCGGCCAACUACGUGCCAGCAGCCGCGGUAACACGUAAGGGGCGAGCGUUGUCCGGAUUUAUUGGGCGUAAAGAGCUCGUAGGCGGUUGCGUAAGUCGGAUGUGAAAACUCAGGGCUCCACCCUGAGAUGCCAUUCGAUACUGCGCUGACUAGAGUCCGGGAGAAGAGCAUGGAAUUCCUGGGGGUAACGGGGAAAUGCCCCGAUAUUCAGGAGGAACCCCCUAACGAAAGGGGGGCUU